rnacentral:rRNA from 1 species
UACGUAGGGUGCAAGCGUUAAUCGGAAUUACUGGGCGUAAAGCGUGCGCAGGCGGUUUUGUAAGUCAGAUGUGAAAUCCCCGGGCUUAACCUGGGAAUUGCGUUUGAAACUACAAGGCUAGAGUGUGACAGAGGGGGGUGGAAUUCCACGUGUAGCAGUGAAAUGCGUAGAGAUGUGGAGGAACACCGAUGGCGAACGGCAGCCCCCUGGGUUAACACUGGACGCUCAGGCGACGAAAGCGUGGGGAGCAAACAGG